rnacentral:rRNA from 1 species
GUUAAAGACAGUUAGGCAGAAAUGAAUAGGAAUUAUUAGAUCUUUAGUAAAGGAGUAAAAUCUAAAUACUAAAAGUUAUACCGGAUAUAAUUAUUUAAUGUGUUGAAUCUGUGACAUCUUUAAGGGAAACUGGGAUUGGAUACCCCACUAUUUUUAGUUAUAAAUUUAGUUUAUGCUUACCAGAGUACUACGAAUAAAAAGUUUAAAACUCAAAGGGCUUGGCGGUGUUUUAGACCUCUCAGGGGAACCUGUCUCGUAAUCGACAAUCCACGUUAGACCUAACCUUUUAUGGUAAUUCAGCCUGUAUACCGUCGUCGCCAGGUAACUUCUUAAAAUAUAGUAGUUAGCUUGAUAAUUUAAUUAAUUAGAACGUCAGAUCAAGGUGCAGCUAAUAAAAAGGUGAGGAUGGGUUACAAUUAUAGAUUUGUAAAUACGGAAUAAUGCUUGAAAUGGAGCAUUAAUCGAAGGAGGACUUGAAAGUAAUUUUGAUUAUAUAAGCAAAAUGAAUAGGGCUCUGAAACGUG